GAUGAACGCUGGCGGCGUGCCUAAUACAUGCAAGUCGAGCGAACAGACGAGGAGCUUGCUCCUCUGACGUUAGCGGCGGACGGGUGAGUAACACGUGGAUAACCUACCUAUAAGACUGGGAUAACUUCGGGAAACCGGAGCUAAUACCGGAUAAUAUAUUGAACCGCAUGGUUCAAUAGUGAAAGACGGUUUUGCUGUCACUUAUAGAUGGAUCCGCGCCGCAUUAGCUAGUUGGUAAGGUAACGGCUUACCAAGGCGACGAUGCGUAGCCGACCUGAGAGGGUGAUCGGCCACACUGGAACUGAGACACGGUCCAGACUCCUACGGGAGGCAGCAGUAGGGAAUCUUCCGCAAAGGGCGAAAGCCUGGCGGAGCAACGCCGCGUGAGUGAUGAAGGUCUUCGGAUCGUAAAACUCUGUUAUUAGGGAAGAACAAAUGUGUAAGUAACUAUGCACGUCUUGACGGUACCUAAUCAGAAAGCCACGGCUAACUACGUG
rnacentral:rRNA from 1 species